rnacentral:siRNA from 1 species
UCAGUUGGUACGUCAUCGAAGCAC